rnacentral:lncRNA from 1 species
GACUGCCUCCUCAAGUGGGUCCCCCCAAGUAGCCUAACUGGGAGGCACCUCACAGUAGGCGCCAACUGACACCUCAUAUGGCCGGAUGCCCCUCUGAGACAAAGCUUCCAGAGGAAGGAUCAGGCAGCAACAUGUGCCAUUCUGCAAUAUUCACUGUUCUGCAGCCUCCACUGGUGGUGAUACCUAGGCAAACAGGGUCUCAAGUGGACCUCCAGCAAACUCCAACAGACCUGCAGUUGAGGGUCCUAACUGUUAGAAGGAAAACUAAAAAACAGAAAGGACAUCCACACCAAAACCCCAUCUGUACGUCACCAUCAUCAAAGACCAAAGGUAGAUAAAACCACAAAGAUGGGGAGAAACCAGAGCAGAAAAGCUGAAAAUUCUAAAAAUUAGGCACCUUUUCUCCUCCAAAGGAAAGCAGCUCCUCACCAGCAACGGAACAAAGCUGGACAGAGAAUGACUUUGACAAGUAGAGAGAAGAAGGCUUCAGACGAUCAGUAAUAACAAACUUCUCCAAGCUAAAGGAGGAUGUUCGAACCCAUCGCAAAGAAGCUAAAAACCUUGAAAAAAGAUUAGACGAAUGGCUAACUAGAAUAAACAGCAUAGAGAAGACCUUAAAUGACCUGAUGGAGCUGAAAACCAUGGCAUAAGAACUACGUGACACAUGCACAAGCUUCAGUAGCUGAUUUGAUCAAGUGGAAGAAAGGGUAUCAGUGAUUGAAGAUCAAAUGAAUGAAACGAAGUGAGAAGUUUACAGAAAAAAGAGGAAAAAGAUCAUGUGCAGAGACACACAUAGGCUCAAAAUAAAGGGAAGGAGGAAGAUCUACCAAGCAAAUGGAAAACAAAAAAAAAGCAGGGGCUGCAAUCCUAGUCUCUGAUAAAACAGACUUUAAACCAACAAAGAUCAAAAGAGACAAAGAAGGCCAUUACAUAAUGGUAAAGGGAUCAAUUCAACAAGAAGAGA